rnacentral:rRNA from 1 species
UACGUAGGUGACCAGCGUUGUCCGGAUUUACUGGGCGUAAAGAGCGCGCAGGCGGUCGAUCAAGUCGAGUGUGAAAGCCCCCGGCUCAACUGGGGAGGGUCAUUCGAUACUGAUCGACUCGAAGGCAGGAGAGGGUAGUGGAAUUCCCGGUGUAGUGGUGAAAUGCGUAGAUAUCGGGAGGAACACCAGUGGCGAAGGCGACUACCUGGCCUGUUCUUGACGCUGAGGCGCGAAAAGCUAGGGGAGCAAACGGG